rnacentral:lncRNA from 1 species
GUAUAUAUAAGCGUUUGUGUCAGUAUUGUGUUUUUGAAAAAAAAAAGAAAAAGUAUCCACGAGAGGUUGAACUAAGAUUGCAAGGAAUUGGACGUUUUUUAAAUCCCGUGGUAGUUGAAAUUUGACUUUGACCACUAGUUUUAUAAUUUUAUUUGUAUCGUCUAAAAUUUAUGAAACCAUUUCCUAAACACUUCGAUUGUACAUGAGUACAGUUUACUCAAUCAUAUUAGUGUUCAAACUGAACUCUAA